UACGGAGGAUCCGAGCGUUAUCCGGAUCUAUUGGGUUUAAAGGGAGCGUAGGUGGAUUGUUAAGUCAGUUGUGAAAGUUUGCGGCUCAACCGUAAAAUUGCAGUUGAAACUGGCAGUCUUGAGUACAGUAGAGGUGGGCGGAAUUCGUGGUGUAGCGGUGAAAUGCUUAGAUAUCACGAAGAACUCCGAUUGCGAAGGCAGCUCACUGGACUGCAACUGACACUGAGGCUCGAAAGUGUGGGUAUCAAACAGG
rnacentral:rRNA from 1 species